rnacentral:lncRNA from 1 species
GCCGGGCGUUCCCAAUCUCCCUCCCCCACCCCUUCAGCCAGUUCUUAAAGGAGCAGGCCUGCAAUCUGGGAAGGCGGGAGAAAUGGAGGAAAACUAAAUGUGCAUGUGGCGUGAGUGUGCCUGUGUGUGCGUGUGUGUGCGGGAGCAUGCGGGAGUAUCUGUGUGUGCCUGUGUCUAUGUGUUGACUGUGUAACUGUGUCAGAAGGCCUAUGUGUCUGAGUGUGUUGCUAUUUCUGUUUCUGUCUCCACCUAUGUGUCACCAUUAUGCUGCAUGUGUCUGGAAUAUUUACCUAUGCGGGCCUGUCUGGCCCUGAGGGAGUCCCCUUUCUGAAGCUGUGGUGCUUGGACGACCUGCUCUCUACAUUGCUGGGCACCUGUAGGUGUCCCUCGAGAGCUCAGUUUUGAGGUUCAAGUCAGUGUGGCCAUGAAGGGGCUGCCUAUUGGGCUGAUGCUGUGACCCUGGAGUCUGCC